UGGGGACAUGGGAGUGACAUUUCUUGAAUGGGAUGCGGAGAGCAGAGGCAAACGUUCGUCCACCCCAUCAGCAGUCGUGACUGCAGCAGUGAUGGCGGGGCUGGCAGGGAGAGGCUGAGUCUAGUAGUUUCUCUUUCUUAAAUUCAGUUUCAUAUUUAUUAUUAGAUUUGAAAUUGAGAGGUUUUAAAAUAAUGCCUUAUUUUCAGCGUAGGAGAUGUUGAUCUGAAGAAUGGAAUUUGAAACUUGGUUCUGUUAAUUAAUUACAUGAAUUGAAUGCUCAAAGCUUUAUCUUUAUGUCUAGUAAAGUAAUAAUAAGAAUACCUAUCUUGCUGGUUUUUAAGGCGUUUCAAUGAGAUAGUAUAUGUUAAAUUAUAAUGGUAUUGCUUGCUUGGCAAAUGGUAGGGAGCUUUUUAAAAAACCUUCUUCACUAUUUAGUACAACCAUAACCUUAUUAGGAGACUAGUGUAGGUAAGUGGUCUAUUAACUUUAUGAGGGGGUAGAAGGCUCACAAAACAUAUUUUGUUAAUAUUUCAAAAUAUGGAUAAUUCAGAAACUUCAAACAUUGUACUGUUGCAUGAAAUGACCUUCACAGGUCAUUUAGUAAAUAGUACUUGAAGUAUGCUUGGGUUGCAAGGAAUGAAAUGGGUGACAUUAGUUUAGCACAACAUAUCCUGUGGAAUCAGCGUGUAACUUUUAUUUUCUCCUUUAGCUUUGAGUGAAGAAUGCAAUUUCAGUUGAGCACAGAGUUGGAGAUUCAGACAACUAGGGUUUUAUUACCAGCUCCAUCAAUGACAUACAGUGUGCCAUUAGGGAAAAAUUAUUUUUCUCAACAUCAGAAUUCUCUUCUUUAAAAUGGAAACGAAUUUGGUGGCUUGGAAAAUAAUGUUGGAUUUGGCAAAUAUAGGUACAUUCAAUAUUCUAGAACACCUUUGAUUUAAUGAGACAAUGAAAUUCAUGCUGUGUUUAUUAUAAUGCCAAGAAAUAGCAAAUAGAUAUAGUUGUAAAUAGUGAUGAUGAUGGUGGUGAUGAUGAUGAUGAUAGUAAUAAAAAAUAAACAACUACAUAGGAAGUUACAUCAGCCAGUGUAGCCAUAUUGAUGCAGCAUGAUGUGCUAUGUUGUGAAUGUGGAAGGGCAAAAUCACCUGUGCCCUUUAAGAGCAUUGCCAGCCAAAUUAGCCCUCUCCAGUGUGAUCUGAACUGGCAUCACUAUACAAGAACACCGACCUGAGUGCUCACGUUUGAUCUUGGUGAUUGUGUGCCCUAUCAUUCAGUAUUUGUAUGAUUGUGUAAGCACAGGUGUAUGUUAGCAUAUUUGUGGUUCUCCAAACUGUGGAUCAGGGGUUGUAUAUAAAACAAAGCAGGAAGAGUCGGUUGACAUAAGACAAGGAGAGGAACUAUUUUCAUCAACAAAGUGAUUCUAAACCAGUCUUCAAACCCAUCAGGAGAUUCUGUUAAGAGCUAAGAAUCAGGAAGACAGCCAGAAGUUCUCCAUUUCCACCUGCAUGGGAAAGGAAACCUCAGACUCGCGGCAGAAUGGGAGAAUGAUGGAAUGGGUCACCUCUGAAGUCCAACUCUUGGAAACGACUCUACAUUUAUAGCCCUAGAUGCUGCCAGCCUUCCAUUCAGGUCUCUGGGACUCUUACAAGAAGGGUUGGUUCCUCUAACAAUUCUUUCUAUCUUCUUACAUGUGGCUCUAUCUGUUCUCAAACUUUUGGCUCUUCCCACCAGGUCUUUACAAAGAUGCAGAUGUUUCUUAAAAGUGGCAAGAAGAUCAAAGGGACUUUUUGUGCCUGAUGUGCUAGAAUGGCUCAGAGUUCUGUUAAAUCAGAUUUGGACAUAAAAUAAAACCAGUAACUAGUGGUUUGCAAAGGUUGCUGGUGAAAGAAUGGAGCUUCAUAGGUCAACACUGCAGCACACAAAAAUAUGCCAGGUUUAAUUGUCUUUUUCUUUUUAAUUGUAUCUGGAGAUAGAAAAUCAACAAAAUGGAUGCCGCUAUACAUUACAGCUGAUUUGUUUUAGAGUAUUAGUGCUUCUGCAAUUAAUUAGCCCAUGUCUGUGGACUAUCGCUUGCUUCUUUUUUAUUCUAAAUAUGACCAAAGAGUGUAGUUACCAAAUGUAAUGAUGGCUCAAAGCAGAAUUUAAUAUACAAACAUAAAAAUGAGCAUUGGCUUCAUGCAAAGCACUGAAUAGGAACUGAGGAAACAAAUAGAAGCUUUUCCUACCCACACAGAGGACACACGCUAAAGGGAAGAAUAAAACAGUCAUGUAACUGCAAUAUACAUAAGUCCCAUAAAAUUGUACAAAACGUUUAUGGACUCUGAAGAGAAAGAGCUCAAAUCCAGUUGAUAUACAUUUUAUCUUUGAUGUACUUAAAUUACGUCUGAAGCUAUCUUUCCUUUACCUCCUGGGGUACCUGCUUUGACUCUCAGACUUGCUGUCAAGUGAUUAGUAAUCCUGAUAAGGUUGUUUGUUUGUUUUUAUUUUUAAUGAAUUUAUUUAUUUAUUAUUUUUGGCUGCAUUGGGUCUUAGUUGCGGUACAUGUGAUCUUCGUUGAGGCACACGGGAUCUUUUGUUGCAGCGUGCAGGCUUCUUUCUAGUUGUAGCAUGCGGGUUUUCUCUCUCUAAUUGUGGUGUGCAGGCUCCAGGGCGCAUGGGCUCUAUAGUUUGCGGCACCCAGGCUCUCUAGUUUAGGCACGUGGGCUCAGUAGUUUUGGUGUACGGGCUUAGUUGCCCCGCGGUCUGUGGGAUCUUAGUUCCCUGAUCAGGGAUCAAACCUGCAUCCCCUGCAUUGGAAGGCGGAUUCUUUACCAUUGGACCACCAGGGAAGUCCCCCUGAUAAGGUUUUAAAUGAUAGGGUGUUUGCAGAUAUGACCUGUCUCAAGUAUGUUUGCAUUUUAAAGCUAUACAAAUCCACAGGAAUGAAACUAUUGAUAUAAUAACAGGCAGAAGGGUUGAUUUAUUUGCUGUAGGUCCUUGACUGACCUCUUAACAUCUUUCAGUUAAACCAUUAUAUUUAAAGAUAAUCAUGGUAUAUCUUUGAUUUAGGUAAGCUCUCUGGAUGUGUUCUACCGUUCUCUAUUUUAUUUUUUUAAUAAAUGUAUUUAUUUAAUUUUCGGCUGCAUUGGGUCUUCAUUGCUGCUCGCGGGCUUUCUCUAGUUGUGGCUAGCGGGGGCUACUCUUACUUGCAGUGCGCAGGCUUCUCAUUGCAGUGGCUUUUCUUGUACAGCACGGACUUGUUGUACAGCGUGUGGGCUUCAGUAGCUGUGGCAUGCGGGCUCAGUAGUUGCGGCUUGCAGGCUUUAGAGCGCAGGCUCAGUAGUUGUGGUGCACGAGCUUAGUUGCUCCGUGGCAUGUGGGAUCUUCCUGGACCAGGGCUCGAACCUGUGUCCCCUGCAUUGGCAGGUGGAUUCUUAACCACUGCGCUACCAGGGAAGUCCUAGUUCUCUAUUUUAAAAGCUCUACAAUAUUUGUUUCUACUGUGAUAUUAAACAUUUCUCUCUGAAAUUGGCAUUAUUCUUUGCAAUUGAGCUAUAAUUUUCUUCCAAUUGAGACACACUGAAUUUUUAAUUUAAGUGUAAAGGAGGAACAGAAAGGGGUCUGAUCCAAUAGAUGGUACUUCUGUGCUGAGCUUUGAUAAGAGCUCGCCUAAGAGGCAUCUAGUAAGCCAACUGGAUGGUCAUUCCAAUGUGAAUGAAAAGGAAACUGAAUUUAAAAUAUCAGAAAAAUGCACAUAACUAGGAGAAAAAACACAGCAGCUUGAGAACUGGAUUAUUCUCUUAGUGUGUACUUUUCUCCUACAGCCUAGAAUUUUCUUAGGCACCAAGAAAGAAACCUCCUGAACUGCCUUGCAUUUCUAAAAUUCUAUGAUCCUAUGAUCUCACUUUCCAUUUGGGUACAAUUUACAUACUUUGUCAGUGAAUUUGAGUGAUACCCUAUGUUUGAGAGAAAAACAGUUGUCUUUCUUUUAGUUUAAUAAAUAUUU